GAGUGAACACAGCUCUUUUAGAAUUUUUUUAGCAGGUUUUUCUCACUUUGUUUGGAAAACACAU